rnacentral:rRNA from 1 species
AUUGAACGCUGGCGGCAGGCUUAACACAUGCAAGUCGAGCGAGCGGCGGACGGGUGAGUAAUUUCUGGGAACCUGCCUGAUGGAGGGGGCUAACUACUGGAACCGGUAGCUACUACCGCAUACCGUCAUAUGUGCCCAGAUGGGAUUAGCUAGUAGGUGGGGUAAUGGCUCACCUAGGCGACGAUCCCUAGCUGGUCUGAGAGGAUGACCAGCCACACUGGAACUGAGACACGGUCCAGACUCCUACGGGAGGCAGCAGUGGGGAAUAUGGAACAAUGGGCGAAAGCCUGACGCAGCCAUGCCGCGUGUGUGAAGAAGGCCUUCGGGUUGUAAAGCACUGUCAGCGGGGAGGCGGUACCCGAAGAAGAAGCACCGGCUAACUCCGUGCCAGCAGCCGCGGUAAUAC